CCUGCGGAGGGAUCAUUACAGGACGUUUAUCAACUCCCAAACCCCUGUGAACAUACCUUAUGUUGCCUCGGCGGAUCAGCCCGCGCCCCGUAAAAAGGGACGGCCCGCCGCAGGAACCCUAAACUCUGUUUUUAGUGGAACUUCUGAGUAUAAAAAACAAAUAAAUCAAAACUUUCAACAACGGAUCUCUUGGUUCUGGCAUCGAUGAAGAACGCAGCAAAAUGCGAUAAGUAAUGUGAAUUGCAGAAUUCAGUGAAUCAUCGAAUCUUUGAACGCACAUUGCGCCCGCCAGUAUUCUGGCGGGCAUGCCUGUUCGAGCGUCAUUUCAACCCUCAAGCCCAGCUUGGUGUUGGGAGCUGCAGUCCUGCUGCACUCCCCAAAUACAUUGGCGGUCACGUCGAGCUUCCAUAGCGUAGUAAUUUACACAUCGUUACUGGUAAUCGUCGCGGCCACGCCGUUAAACCCCAACUUCUGAAUGUUGACCUCGGAUCAGGUAGGAAUGCCCGCUGAACUUAAGCAUAUCAAUA
rnacentral:rRNA from 1 species